UGGCUUAGACGGUAAAGCAUCUGCCUGCAAUGAAGAAGACCUGGGUUCAAUCCCUG
rnacentral:tRNA from 1 species